rnacentral:sRNA from 1 species
AUCAAUUUCUAUCCUCCAGAAACAACAAAGGGAGCCACCCGUUAAGGCAGCUCCCCGUCGAUGUGGCAUAAGCGCUAUAUUACAGCCAGCGCUGGUCUAGUGUGACACCUAGGUUACGAAGAGUAUCCGCAUCACCCGGGCUCAGCUUGGCGUUACCGCCGAUUAGAGUUUGCAGGUUGUGUGCAUGAAUAACCCAAUCGCGUGUCUGCAUGCUGUUCGAGAAGUUAGAACCCGGAACAACACCGACAUAGGCGUCAUCACUGAAGUAGUCGGAACGACCAGAGUUGUCUUUAACGUGGAUUGUGAACAAUCCCUCAGACGAACGACGGGCGUCGUCGUAGUUGUAAAGAGCAGUCAGGAAGUCGUUCGAAGGCGAAGUUUGUUGAAGGCUAACAGUGAGG